GACGAACGCUGGCGGCGUGCCUAACACAUGCAAGUCGAGCGGAGGCUGAGGGGAGCCCAGCGAUGGGAAGGAAUCGGCUUUAGCGGCGAACGGGUGAGUAACACGUGGGCAAUCUGCCCUCUGGAGCGGGAUAACAGACCGAAAGGCUUGCUAAUACCGCAUGAGGCCGUACUCUCGCAUGGGAGAACGGUCAAAGGGGAAACCCGCCGGAGGAGGAGCCCGCGUCCCAUUAGCUAGUUGGCGGUGUAACGGACCACCAAGGCGAUGAUGGGUAGCCGGCCUGAGAGGGUGAACGGCCACAUUGGGACUGAGACACGGCCCAGACUCCUACGGGAGGCAG
rnacentral:rRNA from 1 species